rnacentral:rRNA from 1 species
UACGGAGGGGGCAAGCGUUGUUCGGAAUUACUGGGCGUAAAGGGCGCGCAGGCGGCUGCUCAAGUCAGGCGUGAAAGGCCUGGGCUCAACCCGGGAACUGCGUCCGAUACUGGCAGGCUUGAAUCCGGGAGAGGGAUGUGGAAUUCCAGGUGUAGCGGUGAAAUGCGUAGAUAUCUGGAGGAACACCGGUGGCGAAGGCGACAUCCUGGACCGGCAUUGACGCUGAGGCGCGAAAGCCAGGGGAGCAAACGGG